rfam:Planomicrobium sp. ES2 genome assembly, contig: CONTIG000001
CGCGGGGUAGAGCAGUUCGGUAGCUCGUCGGGCUCAUAACCCGGAGGUCGCAGGUUCAAAUCCUGCCCCCGCAA